GCGACGGGUGGGCGGACGCCCGCCUUCGCCUGCAUCGCUGUCUUUCCCCCGGGCCGUUGUCCCCCGGGAUGUGAGGGCCGCAGCUCCGCCGGCGGGGCCUGGAGUGGAGCGGAGAGCGGACGCAGACGCUCCACCUACUUUGGCCUGAACCCAGCCUCCGAGGGCUAAAAAUAUUGCCCCGAGGCUCCUGAGCGGAAUCAGAUCGUGCUAAGUAGGGCACAAGGCUGCAGAGGCGACCGAGCUCUUCGGCCCCGGGGCUGGAGGAAGACUCCUGAGCAGCGGCUCCCACCUACGCUCGGCGGCUAGCGGUCUCGCUCAGCCCAGCAGGCAAGUGCGGGGCCGCAGUGGUUCUCUGAAGUUGCCCCACACCGAGCAGCCGCGCCUAGCUUCUCGCUACCCAUCAAUCACUGCUGGCUUCUCAGGGGGUCCUGUAAAUGCUUUAUAAGCAGUGGCCGAAAGUUACCCACUGAAGGAAUUAGAACUAUCAGGCAGAAGCCGUAGGGCUCUUCGUGUUAGAAACGUCAGCUGUGGCUUCUUUUUAAAUUCAUUCCAUGUUUCUGAAUGAGAGAGGAGCUGUGCCAGGCACUGUUUCUGGUUUGUGUGGAGGCCAGUAUGAAGCUGAAAAAGCAGGUGACAGUGUGUGGGGCUGCGAUCUUCUGUGUGGCGGUCUUCUCACUCUACCUCAUGCUGGACCGAGUGCAGCAUGAUCCCACCCGACACCAGAAUGGUGGCAACUUCCCCCGGAGUCAAAUUUCUGUGCUGCAGAACCGCAUUGAACAGCUGGAGCAGCUGUUGGAGGAGAACCAUGAGAUCAUCAGUCACAUCAAGGACUCCGUGCUGGAGCUGACUGCCAACGUGGAGGGCCCACCUGCCCUGCUGCCCUACUCUAUGGCCAAUGGCUCCUGGGUGGUGCCACCAGAGCCCCGGCCCAGCUUCUUCUCUGUCUCCCCUCAAGACUGCCAGUUUGCUCUGGGGAGCCGGGGCCAGAAGCCAGAGCUGCAGAUGCUGGCUCUAUCAGAGGAGUUACCAUUUGACAACUUGGACGGCGGCGUGUGGAAGCAAGGCUUUGACAUCUCCUACAGCCCACACGACUGGGACACCGAAGACCUGCAGGUGUUUGUGGUCCCCCACUCUCACAAUGACCCAGGCUGGCUCAAGACCUUUGACAAGUACUACACAGAACAGACCCAGCACAUCCUCAACAACAUGCUAUCCAAGCUGCAGGAGGACCCCCGGCGGCGAUUCCUCUGGGCUGAAGUUUCCUUCUUCGCCAAGUGGUGGGACAACAUCAAUGCCCAAAAAAGAGCCGCCGUCCGAAGGCUGGUGGGCAAUGGGCAGCUGGAGAUUGCGACAGGAGGCUGGGUGAUGCCAGACGAGGCCAACUCCCACUACUUCGCAUUGAUCGACCAGCUCAUUGAGGGACACCAGUGGCUGGAGAAAAACCUUGGUGCAACCCCGCGCUCAGGCUGGGCAGUGGACCCCUUUGGAUACAGCUCCACCAUGCCUUACCUGCUGCGCCGUGCCAACCUGACCAGCAUGCUGAUCCAGAGGGUGCACUACACCAUCAAGAAGCACUUCGCCGCCACCCACAGCCUGGAGUUCAUGUGGAGGCAGACCUGGGACUCGGACUCCAGCACGGACAUCUUCUGCCACAUGAUGCCCUUCUACAGCUACGAUGUCCCCCAUACGUGUGGCCCAGACCCCAAGAUCUGCUGCCAGUUCGAUUUCAAGCGCCUUCCCGGUGGGCGCAUCAACUGCCCUUGGAAGGUGCCACCCCGGGCUAUCACCGAGGCGAACGUGGCCGAGAGGGCAGGCCUGCUCCUGGACCAGUACAGGAAGAAGUCCCGGCUCUUCCGAAGCAACGUCCUCCUGGUGCCGCUGGGCGACGACUUCCGUUAUGACAAGCCCCAGGAGUGGGACGCCCAGUUCUUCAACUACCAGCGGCUCUUUGACUUCCUCAACAGCAAGCCUGACCUCCACGUGCAGGCUCAGUUUGGCACCCUCUCUGACUAUUUUGACGCUCUCUACAAGAGGACAGGGGUGGAGCCGGGGGCCCGGCCUCCCGGUUUCCCUGUGCUGAGUGGCGAUUUCUUCUCCUACGCGGACCGGGAAGACCAUUACUGGACAGGCUAUUACACUUCCCGGCCUUUUUACAAGGGCUUGGACCGUGUCCUGGAAGCCCACCUGCGGGGGGCAGAGAUUCUGUACAGCCUGGCUGUCGCCCACGCCCGCCGCUCUGGACUGGCUAGCCAGUACCCGCUCUCGAACCUGGCCCUUCUGACGGAAGCUCGGCGCACACUAGGGCUCUUCCAGCACCAUGAUGCCAUCACCGGCACCGCCAAGGAGGCAGUCGUGGUGGACUAUGGGGUCAGGCUUCUGCGCUCCCUUGUCAACCUGAAGCAGGUCAUCAUUAACGCAGCUCACUAUCUGGUGCUGGGGGACAAGGAAACCUACCACUUUGACCCUGAGGCUCCCUUCCUGCAAAUGGAUGACAGCCGCACAAAUCACGAUGCCCUACCAGAGCGCACAGUGAUCCAGCUGGAGUCUUCACCCAGGUAUGUGGUGCUGUUCAACCCACUGGAACAGGAGCGGCUCAGCCUGGUGUCCCUGCUGGUCAACUCGCCCCGGGUGCGGGUGCUUUCAGAGGAGGGUCAGCCCCUAGCCAUUCAGAUCAGCGUGCACUGGAGCUCUGCCACCGACCUGGUCCCCGACGUCUACCAGGUGUCUGUGCCUGUCCGCCUGCCAGCACUGGGCCUCAGCGUGCUGCAGCUGCAGCUGGGCCUGGAUGGGCCCCGCACCCUGCCCUCCUCCGUGCGUGUCUACCUUUAUGGGCGGCAGCUGUCUGUCAGCAGGCACGAGGCGUUCCCCAUACGCGUCAUCGACUCUGGCACCAGUGACUUUGCCCUCAGCAACCGCUAUAUGCAGGUCUGGUUCUCAGGCCUUACCGGGCUCCUCAAGGUAAAGGGCCAGGGGCUGGGAGCCGGAGGACAGCUUGCGUGUCGGGGGGUUGUGCCGAGCUGCCUCCCGACUGACAGUGGACCCGGGAGCGGGCCGUCCUGGCCUCAAGCUGACAGCACAGGAAAGCUGGGCUUGACCCCUUGGGGAAGUUCGUCCACGCCCUCCCAGGGGGCAGGCCUGACAUGCUGGCGUGGGGCCAGGGGUCAGGGCUGUGUUUUUUGGCAGAGCAUCCAAAGAGUGGACGAGGAGCAGGAGCGGCGGGUGGAUACGGAGUUCCUCAUCUAUGGCACCCGCACGUCCAAAGACAAGAGCGGAGCCUACCUCUUCCUGCCUGAUGGCGAGGCCAAGCCCUACGUCCCCAAGGACCCGCCUGUGCUGCGCAUCACGGAGGGCCCCUUCUUCUCAGAGGUGGUUGCCCACUACGAGCACGUUCACCAGAUAGUUCGGCUUUAUAACCUGCCAGGGGUGGAGGGGCUGUCUCUGGACAUGUCCUUCCUGGUGGACAUCCGGGACUACAUCAACAAGGAGCUGGCCCUGCGCAUCCACACAGACAUCAACAGCCAGGCUACCUUCUUCACGGACCUCAACGGCUUUCAGGUGCAGCCCCGGCGGUUUUUGAAGAAGCUGCCCCUGCAGGCCAACUUCUACCCCAUGCCGGUCAUGGCCUACCUCCAGGACGCUCAGAACCGCCUCACGCUGCACACCGCCCAGGCCCUGGGUGUCUCCAGCCUCCGUAGUGGCCAGCUGGAGGUGAUCUUGGACCGGCGCCUAAUGCAGGAUGACAACCGGGGCCUGGGCCAGGGGCUCAAGGACAACAAGAGAACCUGUAACCAUUUCCGCCUCCUGCUGGAACGGCGAACCCCGGUCAGGGAGGUUCACGAUGGCCUCCCUACCAGCUACCCGUCCCUCCUCAGCCACCUGACCUCCAUGUACCUGAACACCCCUGUGUUCGCCCUGCCCGUGGCCAAGAAGCAGCCCCCAGGUCUUGCUUUGCGCUCAUUUCACCCUCUGGCAUCCUCACUGCCCUGUGACUUCCACCUGCUCAACCUGCGUUCGCUCCAGGCCAAGGAUGAAAAUGUGCCCGCAGCAGAAACAGCACUCAUCUUACACCGCAAGGGUUUUGACUGUGGCCUGGAGGCCAAGAACUUGGGCUUCAACUGCACCACAAGCCAAGGCAAGUUCCAUAUACAGGUGGAGAACUCUGUCAAACAAAUGGAAACACCAGAAAUUAAAAAAGCCGGGGAGUUCCUGUCGUGGCGCGGUGGUUAACAAAUCCGACUAGGAACCAUGAGGUUGCGGGUUCGGUCCCUGCCCUUGCUCAGUGGCCCUGGGGAGCCUUUUCCAUGGGCUGGACGUGCUUUUCCUGCAGCCAACCUCCUUGACUUUGCUGUACCCUCUGGCCUCACCGUCCAACAGCACUGACAUCUUUGUGGAGCCCAUGGAGAUCGCCACCUUCUGCCUCCGCCUGGGCUAGGGCUUCUCGUGGCCUGAAGAGAAGCUCCAUCCACAGAGACUGCCUCUUCCAAGAAGGUCGGGCUGGGCCAGCCGCCUCGGGUAUCCCUUCCCGAUCUACCUCUCAGAACCGCGACAGACUGGGCUCUGCCCUCAAUUUCUGUUUCUCGUUGCUUCUGCAUUUGGGGGCAACCCACAAGCGCAGUGUUGGGCGGCCAGGGCAGGUGCCAGGGAGAUGCAGGCGGGAUGGCCUUUGGCCAGAGUGGGCGGUGCCAGCCUCUGCUUUGAGUCGUGAGUGUCCACCUGGUCGGGCCCAGGCUCAAGCCCUCAUCCUUCCCCCGAGUGGGAUGGAGGAGAAGCAAGGGAGACGUCAGGGUCACUGUGCGAGCUGGCUCUAGGGCAGACCUGUGGCUGUGUAAGGUCCCCCUAUCCUCGUGCAACAAGCAGCAGCAGAGUGAUGCUGGGAGGCGGGGGAUGGGAACCCCGAGCGGGCACUGGGGCAGAGGAGUAGGAGGAAUUGCUGCUUUCUGUGACGGCUCCACUCUAAAACUCCCCGACCCGCACGCCCUAGCCCGGGGCUACAGUGUGGCAGGAAGGACUCGCAAAGACUGUCAUGGCCAGAGGUCAUAGGACACUUUGGGUACCAAAACUCCCAUCUCAUACUGGACACCUGGCCUAUGUGUUGAUUUGCGGGAUGGUGGCCCCUACAUAACUUCUCUUAGGUUCCAGCACUCUGUACACCACUGUCCCCAAGAGCUCCUUCCUGUCAUGGGGCUCUUUGCUCAGGCGAAUUUCCUUUCCCUGGAAGAAAGUGAAGCCUCCACAGCAGCCUGUGUGGUGGGCAACUGGGGAAGGCUUUCAUCACCACCCCUGCAGCCAGGCAGAAGCUUCACCUUCAUGCACCCUUCUAUGGACGUAUCCGAUUCCUGGCGCCAGGACUAGGGCUCUGUACACUAAAUUAGGAGGCACCCCGGCUGCCAGUCAGCCUUCCUUGCAGCUUGGAUUAGCAGAGAAACAUUUAUGAUCAUUUCUAUAGAUGCUGAAAUGAUAACCAGUAAAAUUUAAAAUCCAUCCCUUACUGAACUCUCAGUAGGUUAAGAUGAGAAAGAAGCAUCUGGAUUUAGAUAAAGGAGUCUCCAUCUGAAACCAACAGUCAGUGGCAUUCUAAAGAGUCAGACACCACAGGCGUCCCCAUAAAUUCUGAAAUUAGCCAAGGACAUACUCUUGUUUUCAGGAGGUUCUGACACUGCUACCCCCUGCAGUGUGGCAGAGGAGAGAGCUGAGAAGGAUUGCACCUGUCGUUAUUGUAGGUGACAGCCGGCCAACCUGUACAGCCAGAGAUCAACUUAAGGCCGUAAUAGAGCAUACGCUGGGCCAGCGCCCACAGGGGAUGUCUCGUUCCUGUCGAGAUUCUCCCAGUCAGCUCCUACAUUUGGUGCAUUCCAGUGAGACUUGAUCUUUUUUGGAAUUUGACAGGUUCUCGUGUUCAUUUGAAGGAGUGACUGUAUGAGAACACUAAGAAAAUUCUGAAUGAUGAGUUGGGGGCAGGGGUGCUAGGUGUGGGGAAAAGGCGCUCAUCCCGUGGAAUUUCCAGGACUCCUGACCAACUGUGCGUUCAGUCGGUGUGACCUGGAGUGGGAUCAGACUGCUGGAACCAAAGAGGGAGCCUAGCCACAGACGCAAGGGUGUGGGGACUUGGUUACAAGAUACAAGGAAUAUUUUAAGUGGGAAAAAGAUGGAUUAUUUAAUAAACAGUACUUUAUGACAACUGCCUAUCAAAGUAAAA